CAGUCGCCGCGGGAAUACGAAGGGGGCUAGCGUUGUUCGGAUUAACUGGGCGUAAAGGGCGCGUAGGCGGGUUUUUAAGUCAGGGGUGAAAUCCCAAGGCUCAACCUUGGAACUGCCUUUGAUACUGGAAGUCUUGAGUCCGGGAGAGGUGAGUGGAACUGCGAGUGUAGAGGUGAAAUUCGUAGAUAUUCGCAAGAACACCAGUGGCGAAGGCGGCUCACUGGCCCGGUACUGACGCUGAGGCGCGAAAGCGUGGGGAGCAAACAGGAUUAGAGACCCCUGUAGUCCCUGUCUCUUAUAC
rnacentral:rRNA from 1 species